CAGCUUUCUCUCUCAAACGAGAUCUAGGGUUUCUACAUGCGCUUCAAGAUCUGGCUUUCACAGUUCGGUUCGACACUUCCAUUGGAACCAAAAAAUCUGAGCCAAAUCAGGCCUCUGGAGCGUACAUCUUCCGUCCUCUCAAACGAGAUCUAGGGUUUCUACAUACGCUUCAAGAUCUGGCUUUCACAGUUCGGUUCAACACUUCCAUGGAACCAAAAAAUCUGAGCCAAAUCAGGCCUCUGUAACGUACAUCUUCCGUCCUCUCAAACGAGAUCUAGGGUUUCUACAUGCGCUUCAAGAUCUGGCUUUCACAGUUCGGUUCGACACUUCCAUGGAACCAAAAAAUCUGAGCCAAAUCAGGCCUCUGGAGCGUACAUCUUCCGUCCUAAUGGAAAGUUUCCAAUAAAACCUGCAGGACAGAAAGCUUUUUGAGUUAUAAAAGGUAAAGCCGAAAAGUGAAGCCGUGAAGGUGAGGCUGAGGGUGUAGAAGAUACCAUCCUUAUCUGAUCUACCUUUUUGUUUGGUAUUUGUGUAGUUUAUGUUUAUACGCUGUUAAAUUUCAUGUGUUAUAAGUUGUUUUAAACAGUUUUGCUACUGUUUUUGGAUGUAUUUAUGUUAGAUCUGCGUAAAAUUUUCAGAUCUGUGUUGGUUCUGGGUUUUUAUAAUGUUUUGUGAACUGAUAAUGUGAAUGGAGUGAUAAAAUGAAGGUUAUUGCUUCAUUUGAUGGGUGAAUAGCUGAAGCAUGAUUGAGAAAACAGUUUAAUGUAGAAUGUUGUAUGUUGUAUUUGGUUUACACAUCAGCUAUUAUGCUUCUUGAAUGAGGUUAUCUAAACACAUACCUGUACUUGUUAAUUGUGAGCUUGUGUUUUCAAUUCUCAAAUCAUAUACAAGACUUGUCUGGUUGCACAUAUAGAAGCACUUUUGUUAUAACUAGGUUAACAUU
rnacentral:lncRNA from 1 species